UGAUGUGAGGGCGAUCUGGCUGCGACAUCUGUCACCCCAUUAGUUGCCAGGGUUGAUUCAGCUUAUCUGGUGUCCCCUCCCUCCCUCACGGCUCCACAUGCAUCCCUCGCUCCCUCCCUCCCAAAGCUGUGCACUCAGUGGAAGAAGACGACCAUCCCAGAUAGGAGUGUACCAUUCUUUGGUCAAGGGUAUACUAUAGCUGUGCUCCCUGCUAAAACCUUAAAUGAUACUACAGUUUUCAAAGCAAAGAUUACUAUUUUGGGGGCGGGGGGAAUCGUGAUCCAAAGAAUACAAUGUUCCAACCUUU